UUUCGUUCAGAGCGAACGCUGGCGGCAGGCCUAACACAUGCAAGUCGAACGGACCCUUCGGGGUUAGUGGCGGACGGGUGAGUAACACGUGGGAACGUGCCUUUAGGUUCGGAAUAGCUCCUGGAAACGGGUGGUAAUACCGAAUGUGCCCUUCGGGGGAAAGAUUUAUCGCCUUUAGAGCGGCCCGCGUCUGAUUAGCUAGUUGGUGAGGUAAUGGCUCACCAAGGCGACGAUCAGUUGCUGGUCUGAGAGGAUGACCAGCCACACUGGGACUGAGACACGGCCCAGACUCCUACGGGAGGCAGCAGUGGGGAAUCUUGCGCAAUGGGCGAAAGCCUGACGCAGCCAUGCCGCGUGGAUGAUGAAGGUCUUAGGAUUGUAAAAUCCUUUCACCGGUGAAGAUAAUGACUGUAGCCGGAGANGCAGCCCCGGUUAAC
rnacentral:rRNA from 1 species